CACUACACAACUUGGACGGAUGAAAGAAACAAGGAAGCAAGCAACCACUGAUAAACACUUCAUUCACUCUUGCUCCAUUUGCGAAGAAGGAGCGUUUUUACUUUAGGCCCCAAAGCAUCCCAUGACUUUCUUGGGAGAGUUGCCGGUGGCGCGGUACUUGGCGGCCAUCUCCUCGGCCUUGAGGAGUUCCUCCCCUUUCUUUGCCUCGACCAUCGCUCUCUUCUCUUCGGCUUCCUUGUGGAUCAUUGCGGCCUUAUUCUUCAUCUUCUCGGCGUAUUCAGCCUUCUUCUUUUCCAAUUGCUCCUGAAAGUGUACAGUCACAAGAUUUAGUUUGCAGGAUGGCAUAUGAAGAGAGUGCCAUGUUCAGAACUGCAGAUGGAUAUCGACGGCAAGAACAGGCCUUACUCUUUGAUGUAAUAUACGGCCUUACUCUUUGAUGUAAUAUACAAAGAAUGGUAACGAUGAAAGUACCUCGAUCUUCUUCAGUUGAGCUUCUAUGUUUGCUUUUUUGGUGUUCUCCCAUGAGAGAAUAGCAGAUACCUUUUUAGUAGCCCUGUGAUAUUGAUGUGAAUCAAGAUCAGGAAAAUUUACAUCAUCUAUUUAAUGAACGUGUUCAAGAACGUAAUUUAGCUAUAAGUAUACAACUUCUUCAUUUUCUUCAAAAUGACAUAGCUUCUUUCAUGAUAUCUGUUGGUAGUUGUGCUGUAGGUGUUCUUAUCAUUGUUUGAAUUAGACGGGGUUGACAUAUGCUCCAUAUCUUGGGAGUAAGACUAGACAUAUUACUAACAUGAAGCUUUAUAUGGGCUCUGUUUCCUAGUUGAAACCAUUAAAGUGGCUGAAGCGCACCUUUGAGAUAUGUAACAUGCAUAUCCAAUCUAACAGAGUAGUGAUAAAUCUACCAUACCAUUGAAAAAGCAUGAAUGGAUAAAUAUAAAUAGUAACAUACUUGUUCUCAGCCUUUGUCUUCUCAUUUUCCUCCCAUGCUUUAAUUAAAGAGUUCCUCUUCUCGCUUUCCACCCUUGCAAGAGCGAGGUCUGCAUAGCAGGUUUUCAGGUAGUUUGUCAGCAUAGGUGUACUCUAUUAUAAGAAGAGAAUUCAAAUUAUUCAAUAAUUACCUCUGUCGUUUGAGCCGCCGUGUGCAGCUUUCUCAUCUGUGAGUUUCUCAGCAACAGGUUCAUCUGCAACCUCUGGUACGCAGAAAAAUGUAGAAGUAUCUUAUGAGCAAGAGUUGUAACGUCACAAUUUGAUAUGAGAGUAAUUAAGCAGCAAGAAGCUAGCAUCUGUCUGUACAAUGUCAAAUGAUUUUUAGUACCCACUCGUGUCGCGAGCAUUAUAUAAUCCGUGGAAUUGAAGUUAACUUCUAGCGUGUCCUUUGGUACUAAGAUCUUAUAUAAUGGUGACUUGUGUAGGACUUAUCUUAUUCUCUGAACUUCUCCAACCACAGACGCAAACGGAGUAAGAUAGAAAGCUACUUACAGUCCUUCUGGAUAAAGGAAUGGCUAAACAACGACAUCAUACACCGAACUUUCAGAACCCAAUGCACAGUUUUAUUAAUAUCCUUGACUCACACUCCAGCAUGGUCAUAAUUCUGAGGACUACUAGGUGCCCAUUUUUAUGAUUAAAAGCUUGUUGCUAAUUGGCCCUGCAGUUUCUUCCAACGUUGCUAUUUAUUCGCAUAGUGUUUGGUUUUCUCGUGGGAAGGGGAGCACGCUGUCAUUGAGUGCCAAACCAGAGGAGAAGUAUCAUAGACAGGAUUUCGUUCCGAUACCACAUACUUACUUCAUGUUUAUAUCCACUUCAAAACAGUAAUACGGUCAUACGGUCACCAGGAAAACUGAACAAUCUUUCCAACUAUGCAAGACUCUGAACUACUGAACAUUUAUAGCAUAGUAGUAUAUCUAUCAUCCAUGAUGACUUAGAGCAGCAACAGAAAGCAACUGCCUGCCUGUCCAAAACUACAAUAUGCCAUUCUUAAAUACAAUAGCUUUAUUCCUUUCAAAAGAAGAUAUGACAGUUAGUGAGUGCGCGUGUACUGGUUUUAUCUGUUAAUGAGUGCGCGUGUACUGGUUUUAUCUGUUCUAUAAACCCAAACACUAACUACUACUACAACACUAUCUGCAUGGUUGAAGAAAUAUGCAAAUGCAAUGAACAUGCAGACACAAGUCACAUAGCUCGGGAAAGGUUGUUCUUCAUGUGGCUUUUGCUUCCGUUUGGUUCCUUUUCCCCCAGCAUAGUACCAUCUUGGACACUUUCUAGGGUGUUAAAGUGAAACUGAGAUUCCUCCAAAAAAGGAAACUGGGAUGGAUAAGACAGAGAGGGAGCGAAGAACGGAGAGCAGGGGCAGAAAGAAGACAAAUGGAUAAGGAUGAGUGAGGAAUUCAGUGAAGUUCUAACGACUAUCUUUUCUAAAUUCCAACCCAGAACAAUUGUGCAACCUAUUUUCAGUGAGGCUACACACGGCCAGCAUCACCUUAGCUAUAUCUAUGUUGUCCUAAGAUGCUCUCUGUUUUUGUUUCGUCCAAAACUCUGCAACACUUCCGGUUCACUAGAAACAAACUAAUUUGCAACCAUGGUUGCAUCCGCUGUUUUUUUGUUCAUAACAAAAUCAUUUAGUACUACCUCCAUCUUAAAAUAAGUGUACAAAUUUGUACCAGAGCUAGUAUAAAGUUGCGACGGGCAGAGGGAGUAGAAAGCAGGGAAAAUAUUCAGACAAACAUUUGAGAUAUUUAUCAGAGCUGUUUGCGGCACCAACCAAGUGCUAAUAUAUUUCGCAAGCAGACAAUUCAGGAAAAAGAACACAUAAGCGGAAGUGUCUCAAUUCUCAAAGCAGCCAAAGCACAAACCAAAUAACAAUUGCAACUAACGCUGGCUAGUAAUCCCUAUGAACACGUAACUGAAAUUACCGAAUUAAUCGUACUCUAGGUGUAACAACGAGAGCCAAGAAAAAUAAGGAGAGGAAGGGAAAGAGAAAAAGGUCUCCAAAUAAUAUCGCAGGAUCAUCGGUACCUCAACCAAGUACUACCACCACUGUUCAUCUCCUGUUAACACCGAGGAAAAGUUGCUCGCUCCUACUACUCGUACUACCAGAUCCUAGCGCGCCCACCCCCUUCCCAUCGUUCAAGUUCAACCACAGGCCGGCCUUGCCGAAGCAAGAGCAAAUUAACUGAAGCAGCAGCAGCAGCAAAACAGCGCAGAGCAAGCGGCAGGGUGACUUACUCUCGACGACGACGAGGGCCUUGGAGUCGUCGACGGGCGGCUUCUCCUCGUCGGCGGCGGGNNNNNNNNNNNNNNNNNNNNNNNNNNNNNNNNNNNNNNNNNNNNNNNNNNNNNNNNNNNNNNNNNNNNNNNNNNNNNNNNNNNNNNNNNNNNNNNNNNNNNNNNNNNNNNNNNNNNNNNNNNNNNNNNNNNNNNNNNNNNNNNNNNNNNNNNNNNNNNNNNNNNNNNNNNNNNNNNNNNNNNNNNNNNNNNNNNNNNNNNNNNNNNNNNNNNNNNNNNNNNNNNNNNNNNNNNNNNNNNNNNNNNNNNNNNNNNNNNNNNNNNNNNNNNNNNNNNNNNNNNNNNNNNNNNNNNNNNNNNNNNNNNNNNNNNNNNNNNNNNNNNNNNNNNNNNNNNNNNNNNNNNNNNNNNNNNNNNNNNNNNNNNNNNNNNNNNNNNNNNNNNNNNNNNNNNNNNNNNNNNNNNNNNNNNNNNNNNNNNNNNNNNNNNNNNNNNNNNNNNNNNNNNNNNNNNNNNNNNNNNNNNNNNNNNNNNNNNNNNNNNNNNNNNNNNNNNNNNNNNNNNNNNNNNNNNNNNNNNNNNNNNNNNNNNNNNNNNNNNNNNNNNNNNNNNNNNNNNNNNNNNNNNNNNNNNNNNNNNNNNNNNNNNNNNNNNNNNNNNNNNNNNNNNNNNNNNNNNNNNNNNNNNNNNNNNNNNNNNNNNNNNNNNNNNNNNNNNNNNNNNNNNNNNNNNNNNNNNNNNNNNNNNNNNNNNNNNNNNNNNNNNNNNNNNNNNNNNNNNNNNNNNNNNNNNNNNNNNNNNNNNNNNNNNNNNNNNNNNNNNNNNNNNNNNNNNNNNNNNNNNNNNNNNNNNNNNNNNNNNNNNNNNNNNNNNNNNNNNNCGCUGCGCCUGUGGCCUCCACGUAGACGCUGCGCGUGGCGGCGCACGUGAUAACACCGGGCGGCGUCAAGGCGGACGGUGACAUGGGUGAGGAGUGCGAGGGCGGGGGAGGAUCAAUAAAAACUUACAAAAGUUUACUUAACCUUUUAAACUAACUCUUCUCUCCUUCCAUGAUUUUCAGUAAGGGUGGGGCCCCUCAUCCCUCAAUAACCAUCACAAUCUUACACAUCAGUUUGUACGUAAAAUCUUUAAGUAAGCCUUUGUAGGUGUAGCAUUACUCAGCGGGGAGGAUACGGGUGCCGGUUUCUUUCUUCCGUUCCCAACUUUUUCCUAAACAAUUCUUGAAUAAACAGAUACGUAUUUUCGGCGAUGGAAUUAAAGGCGCGCGCUGGCUCGCCGACUAGACAAUUGGGCUGGUGUUGGGCGAUCCGCGGAGCUUGAUUUUCCCCAGCUGUCAUCGCCUUGACGCGCCCGUCCCGCUGCCGGCUGGGCGUGUGACGGCAAGGACCGACCAGACCUGACCGUUAUACGCCCGUUUCCCGCGGAACUUGGGCGCGCGCGGGUGCAUGUGGCCGUAUCCGUAUGCAGCCGGCGGUCGACAGGUGUACUCGUACUACAUGACCAGUUCUUGGGCGGUGGCCGACGUAUCGGGGUAAUCCGUGGUUUGGUCCUCGCGCUAGCUCUGGACUUGGAUCUCACUGGAUCCUCGUAUUCUGUAUUCUGAAUCCGGGCACCAGUCAGUGGGAGUACAUUUGUCGGUGUAUAUGCAUGUGUGGGCCACACCAUACGUGCAUGAUGCGGUACAAUAUACGUCGAGCAUGUAGGAUGUAGCCAAGCUUCGACACUCAUUUCCCAAGCAGAUUUUGUUCGUUGCUAGUAUGUCCCAAGUUCUAGCUGGCGCUUAUAUCUUGCCGCCCAAAAACCUCCGUCGUCCUACAAAAGAAAACCACAAGAAUUCCAAGUUGACAAACCGUUUGCACAAAGCCAUGAAGCUGGAUGCUGCAGCAACCUAACUAAGCCAAAGCAUCUUAACAGCUGACCAGCUAAUUGUUGAAUAUAAGGAAGCUAGCUAGCUUGCGCAACUGUCCAAAGCAUAGCAUUGGACAAUCGUUCAGCAUCCAAAUGGACAUGAACAGAAGAUGCUUUGCUGGCGAGGACAGGUAGCCACAGCUACCAUGCCACACUCAAAUUAUUGGCAACGGCCAGGUGCUAAGCAGGGUUAUACGCGUUACAAACAAUUGGAUCUUGCUUGGACGCUCCUCGUUACGUCGUCGCUACGUACGCACGGAAUUUGGAGUACAACACACAUCAGAUCCUACUUUUUAGCUACCGAGACAUCCUGCUGUAUCAUUUGCACAUCGUUCAAUCUCACCGGUAACUGGGCGUGCAAGAACAGACAUAUAGAAAUAAGGUAUGACAUUCUGACGGGUAAGCCGAGCAUCUCAAACCCGCUCCAAACAUUCACACAUACGGUUUGAUCAUUGACUGGUCACAAAAAUAUGAUUCACGUGAACGCCUCAAACACCCGGGCUGAUCAACCAAAUCAAAGACGGAUAAGGAAGGCGUCCGGAUGCGUCCGCCCUAGAGGCCUACCCCAUCAUAAAUUGCAUCAAAUCUACCCCAUCCAUCCAUUUGCUAUCUUCUGUUGCUCCUCCCCAACGUAUCUCACCUGCUCCGCCGUUGCGGAGCAUGUGCGCCGACAACAUCGACACAACACUCCUCUAUUCAAUCCUCACAGCCCACGACGUCGUUGCCGGCCCGGACACCACUGUGGUACGCCCGACAAUUCUCGAGCUGGCCCUUGCGAUACAUUGUCCAGCCCGUUUCUUGCGAUUUUUAGGAAAAACAAUGAAUUCUGAUGCUUCGUUGGACGAGGAGUAUGGACUGACAUAGUUCGAUCAAAUGAUUGAAGAUGAGUUCUUCGAUUCGUUGAAUUCACACGAAGAACUGGACAUGAUCAUGCUCAUGAACAUGUAAGAGUAAAUGGACCGGCAGAGCAUAUUCCUAAUUUCAAGGGCUCAAUCAAAAAAAGAAGAAUGAUCAAUCGGGAUAGGGUCUGCGGCGCACGGCUACUAUAGAAGGACUACUUUGCUCCAUACCUAACUUUUUUGGAUCAUCACUGGUUUCGUCGCCGUUUUUUGCAUGCAAAAAACCAUUGUUUUUCCGCAUUAUGGGGGGAUUAAAGGCUUACGAUGACUACCACUAGUAGAAAAAGGCACAUUUGUCCCGGUUCCAUAGGCUCAUUAGCCCCGGUUCCGGAACCGGGACUAAAGUGUCGGGACUAAAGCCCAAAACCUUUAGUCCCGGUUCGCUUACCAACCGGGACCGAAGGGUCUCCACGUGUCCGCUGCGGGGAGCCCGAGCAGGAGGGCCGUUAGUCCCGGUUGGUCAUACUAACCGGGACAACAUGGCAUCCACGCGUCAGCAUCUGGCCGGAGCUGGGGGUUUUGUUUUUUCUGAAUGGGGGUGGGGGUGGAGGGUUAAUUUAGUGGUUUUUUAUUGUGUUAGCUAGCUACUAGAGAGAAGUGUCCUCUCUUUCUCCGUGCUUGGUCGACGCUAGCUACUAUACAUAUAGAGAGAACAUGACGCUAGCUAAUAAGAAAAUGAAGGAAACCAUUUACAAUCCCUAACAUCUUUUACAAUGCCUAACAUCAUCUACCUAAGAUUCAAUCACAAAUAGCUCACAUGGUAUUCUCCGUAUGACGUGGUCAAGAAAGAAUCCCGCCAAUUCCUCUUGGAUUGCUCGUAUGCCAUCAUCUGAUAGGGGUUCAUCCCGCUUCUUUCAGAUCUAAUUUAAAGAAGGGGGUCAAUACAUGCAUAUAUAUAUGAAUAAAACUCAACACAAUUGAUGGUAAUAUAUAAAAUAAAAUUGUGAAUAUUAUUUACGUACUUCAAAUUGUUUGUCAGAGAUGCCUCGCCCAGAGGUUGAGAGGCGAAUGAACUCGCAUACGUAGUAUGCACAUUUUUCAGUUCCAGCUACCUGGUACAAGCACUUUAUGAGAAUAGAGUUCAAUCAAACUGAUAAGCAAGCAUGGUAAUGAUAUAUUGAUGAAAAUUUGAAUCAAUUAGAGAUGCACGGAACUAGAUAGUACUACUUACCGGGGGGGGGUGCGUAAAUUGCAACUCUUUGUUUAGACCGGGAGACUUUGAGGUGAACUUCUUCCAAACCUUGCCAGACAAGGAAAAUGAUUACUUGAUAUCAGGAAAUUAAUGAAAGUUGCAUGCCGGUAUGGUCCUGGUAUUGACUGAACUUACUUCUUGAGCAUUGCAGUCAUGUCCGCAUAAUCCUCGGGAUCUUUACGUCUCGAGUCUAAGACAAUUACUUUUACCCCGUCAAGCUUAAUGGAUAGCAGAAUAAAGUGGUAACUGCGCACGCAUAUAUAACUCAUCAAUUACAUUUACUUAACCUCGAGUAAGCGAAACGAGUAUACAGAGAAUACAGCAACACUCACUUGAAGUUGUAAGGAAAGAGUAUUUCCCUUUUGUUUUGAAUUGCAAGCAAAGAGUUUAGCAAGCUAACCUCGGUCUCUUUGGUUUCAUUUCGUACCGACAAUACAUUUACGGCUUCUGGGCUAAUGAACCCAACGUCGAAGAUUCCUGCUUUUUUUAAUUCGACGAUCUUGAAGCUGCAUAAUAUAUAUAGUAAGGAUAAUUAUAUAUACAUGAAAUGAACGAGAUGAGCUAGAGACUUAAUUAUAGAAGUAAUACUUACAAACAGUAGGAAGUCAUGAAUUGUUUGUCGAGGCCAGUUGAUUGUAUAACUGAAAUAACUCCUCAAAUUGAACAAGCAGCACUGAAGUUCCAAUGAAAUCGUGAUCUUUUUUCACUCUCAUAUAGAUAGCGUCUUUCCCAGUCUCCCUGAAGAUGUUCAUGUACCACUCAUGCAAUUCGUGCAUCCUCGGUGUUAGAGGAGGAUGAUCAGGUUUGACCAGAGGCUUCCCGAGCACGUAUUCAUAUGUUUGUUUAUUUGCUACCUCAGCUAUAUAAAAAAUUACUGAAUGCUUCAUGUAAUCACCAGGAUUGGUACCGGGCAGCUGUUGGGGAACGUCGCAUGGGAAACAAAAAUUUUCCUACGCACACGAAGACCUAUCAUGGUGAUGUCCAUCGACGAGAGGGGAUAUGUGAUCUACGUACCCUUGUAGACCGUACAGCAGAAGCGUUAGUGAACGCGGUUGAUGUAGUGGAACGUCCUCAUGUCCCUCGAUCCGCCCCGUGAACCGUCCUGCGAUCAGUCCCACGAUCUAGUGCCGAACGGACGACACCUCCGCGUUCAGCACACGUACAGCUCGACGAAGAUCUCGGCCUUCUUGAUCCAGCAAGAGAGACGGAGAGGUAGAAGAGUUCUCCGGCAGCAUGACGGCGCUCCGGAGGUUGGUGGUGAUCUUAUCUCAGCAGGGCUCCGCCCGAGCUCCGCAGAAACGCGAUCUAGAGGAAAAACCGUGGAGGUAUGUGGUCGGGCUGCCGUGGAAAAGUCGUCUCAAAUCAGCCCUAAAACCUCCGUAUAUAUAGGGGGAAGAGGGGGAGCCUUGCCUUGGGGCUCAAGGACCCCCAAGGGGGUCGGCCGAGCCAAGGGGGAAAGGUCUCCCCUCCCAAACCGAAUCCAACUUGGUUUGGAAGGUGGAGUCCUUCUUCCCUUUCCCACCUCCUCCUGUUUUUUCUUUUCUCUUUGAUUUUCUUCCUAUGGCGCAUAGGGCCUUCUUGGGCUGUCCCACCAGCCCACUAAGGGCUGGUGCGCCACCCCCAAGGCCUAUGGGCUUCCCCGAGGUGGGUUGCCCCCCCGGUGAACACCCGGAACCCAUUCGUCAUUCCCGGUACAUUCCCGAUAACUCCGAAAACCUUCCGGUAAUAAAAUGAGGUCAUCCUAUAUAUCAAUCUUCGUUUCCGGACCAUUCCGGAAACCCUCAUGACGUCCGUGAUCUCAUCCGGGACUCCGAACAACAUUCGGCAACCAACCAUAUAACUCAAAUACGCAUAUAACAACGUCAAACCUUAAGUGUGCAGACCCUGCGGGUUAGAGAACUAUGUAGACAUGACCCGAGCGACUCCUCGGUCAAUAUCCAAUAGCGGGACCUGGAUGCCCAUAUUGGAUCCUCUCCCUAUAGNNNNNNNNNNNNNNNNNNNNNNNNNNNNNNNNNNNNNNNNNNNNNNNNNNNNNNNNNNNNNNNNNNNNNNNNNNNNNNNNNNNNNNNNNNNNNNNNNNNNACUGCAUUCACUUUAAAUAGGGCACCAUCAAAAUCCGUUGAGACGACACCAUACGAACUGUGGUAUGGCAAAAGGCCAAAGUUAUCGUUUCUUAAAAGUUUGGGGAUGUGAUGCUUAUGUCAAAAAGCUUCAGCCUGAAAAGCUGGAACCCAAAGCGGAAAAGUGCGUCUUCAUAGGUUACCCAAAAGAGACAGUUGGGUACACCUUCUAUCUCAAAUCCGAGGGCAAAGUGUUUGUUGCUAAAAACGGAGCUUUUCUCGAGAAGGAGUUUCUCUCGAGAGAAUUGAGUGGGAGGAAGAUAGAACUUGACGAGGUUGUCAAACCUCUCAUCCCUCUGGAUGGUGGCGNCAGGGCAAGGGGAAACCUCUGUCGUUGCGACACCGGUUGAGGAGGAAGUUAAUGAUGAUGAUCAUGAAACUCCAGUUCAAGUUUCUGUCGAACCACGCAGGUCGACGAGACCACGUGCUGCUCCAGAGUGGUACGGUAAUCCCGUCUUAUCAAUCAUGUUGUUAGACAACAAUGAAGCUGCAAAUUAUGAAGAAGCAAUGGUGGGCCCAGAUUCCAACAAAUGGCUAGAAGCCAUGAAGUCCGAGAUAGGAUCCAUGUAUGAGAACAAAGUGUGGACUUUGGAGGGACUACCUGAGGGCAGCAAGGCUAUUCAGAACAAAUGGAUCUUUAAGAGGAAGACGGCCGCUGACGCCAAUGUGACCGUUUAUAAAGCUCGACUUGUGGCAAAGGGUUUUUCACAAGUUCAAGGAGUUGACUACGAUGAGACAUUCUCACCCGUAGCGAUGCUUAAGUCCGUCAGAAUCAUGUUAGCAAUAGCUGCAUUUUUCGAUUAUGAAAUCUCGCAGAUGGAUGUCAAAACGGCAUUCCUUAACGGUUUCCUUAAGGAAGAGUUGUAUAUGAUACAACCCGAANNNNNNNNNNNNNNNNNNNNNNNNNNNNNNNNNNNNNNNNNNNNNNNNNNNNNNNNNNNNNNNNNNNNNNNNNNNNNNNNNNNNNNNNNNNNNNNNNNNNAUGAUCUCCAUCAACGUGUUGCCAUCGGGGUUGUCGUGCUACUCAUGCUAUUACUACUAAAGCUACAUCCUAGCAAAAUAGUAAACGCAUCUGCAAGCACAAACGUUAGUAUAAAGACAACCCUAUGGCUCAUGCCGGUUGCCGUACCAUCGACGUGCAAGUCGAUAUUUACUAUUACAACAUGAUCAUCUCAUACAUCCAAUAUAUCACAUCACAUCGUUGGCCAUAUCACAUCACAAUCAUACCCUCAAAAAACAAGUUAGACGUCCUCUAAUUUUGUUGUUGCAUGUUUUACGUGGUGACCAUGGGUAUCUAGUAGGAUCGCAUCUUACUUACGCAAACACCACAACGGAGAUAUAUGAGUUGCUAUUUAACCUCAUCCAAGGACCUCCUCGGUCAAAUCCGAUUCAACUAAAGUUGGAGAAACCGAAACUUGCCAGUCCUCUUUGAGCAACGGUGUUACUCGUAGCGAUGAAACCAGUCUAUCGUAAGCAUACGAGUAAUGUCGGUCCAAGCCGCUUCAAUCCAACAAUACCGCAGAAUCAAGAAAAGACUAAGGAGGGCAGCAAAACGCACAUCACCGCCCACAAAAACUUUUGUGUUCUACUCGAGAAGACAUCUACGCAUGAACCUAGCUCAUGAUGCCACUGUUGGGGAACGUCGCAGGGGGGGGGGGGGGGUUCCUACGCGCACGAAGACCUAUCAUGGUGAUGUCCAUCUACGAGAGGGGAUGAGUGAUCUACGUACCCUUGUAGAUCGUACAGCAGAAGCGUUAGUGAACACGGUUGAUGUAGUGGAACGUCCUCACAUCCCUCGAUCCGCCCCGCGAACAAUCCCGCGAUCAGUCCCACGAUCUAGUACCGAACGGACGACACCUCCGCGUUCAGCACACGUACAGCUCGACGAUGAUCUCGGCCUUCUUGAUCCAGCAAGAGAGACGGAGAGGUAGAAGAGUUCUCCGGCAGCGUGACGGCGCUCCGGAGGUUGGUGAUGACCUUGUCUCAGCAGGGCUUCGCCCGAGCUCCGCAGAAACGCGAUCUAGAGGAAAAACCGUGGAGGUAUGUGGUCGGGCUGCCGUGGAAAAGUCGUCUCAAAUCAGCCCUAAAACCUCCGUAUAUAUAGGUGGGAGGGAGGGGACCUUGCCUUGGGGCUCAAGGAGCCCCAAGGGGGUCGGACGAGUCCAAAGGGGAAGGCUCCCCCCCAGACCGAGUUGGACUUGGUUUGGUGGGUGGGAGUCCUUCCUUCCCUUCCCACCUCCCUUUUUUUCUUUUCUCUUUGAUUUUCUUUCCUAGGCGCAUAGGGCCCUUUUGGGCUGUCCCACCAGCCCACUAAGGGCUGGUGUGCCACUCUCAAGGCCUAUGGGCUUCCCCGGGGUGGGUUGCCCCCCCGGUGAACUCCCGGAACCCAUUCGUCAUUCCCGGUACAUUCCCGGUAACUCCGAAAACCUUCCGGUAAUCAAAUGAGGUCAUCCUAUAUAUCAAUCUUCGUUUCUGGACCAUUCCGGAAACCCUCGUGACGUCUGUGAUCUCAUCCGGGACUCCGGACAACAUUCGGUAACCAACCAUAUAACUCAAAUACACAUAAAACAACGUCGAACCUUAAGUGUGCAGACCCUGCGGGUUCGAGAAUUAUGUAGACAUGACCCGAGAGACUCCUCGGUCAAUAUCCAAUAGCGGGACCUGGAUGCCCAUAUUGGAUCCUACAUAUUCUACGAAGAUCUUAUCNGUUUGAACCUCAGUGCCAAGGAUUCGUAUAAUCCCGUAUGUCAUUCCCUUUGUCCUUCGGUAUGUUACUUGCCCGAGAUUCGAUCGUCAGUAUCCGCAUACCUAUUUCAAUCUCGUUUACCGGCAAGUCUCUUUACUCGUUCCGUAAUACAACAUCCCGCAACUUACACUAAGUUACAUUGCUUGCAAGGCUUGUGUGUGAUGUUGUAUUACCGAGUGGGCCCNNNNNNNNNNNNNNNNNNNNNNNNNNNNNNNNNNNNNNNNNNNNNNNNNNNNNNNNNNNNNNNNNNNNNNNNNNNNNNNNNNNNNNNNNNNNNNNNNNNNCCGACGUUUUUCGACCCGUCUAACCCUACUUCAACUUUUUAGCACAUGCUAUGUGGGUGAAAUGAUGAUACCAUGCCAACUUUCAACAUUUUUUAGAGUUCAUUUGUAGUGCUUUUCAAUUUAAGGGUCAUUUAGCUCAAAAAAUCAGUAAAUGCAUGAAAAAUACCAAAUGAAGUCAGAAAUAGUUGAAAAUUGAUGAUGUGGCUUUGAAUGGUGCAUUUUGAACACACAAAAAAGUCUUGAGUUCAAAUAAGUUCAAAAAAAAUGAAAUCCCUUUGUAACACAUGAGUUUUCGUAUGAAACCCUCAUACUUCGAAAGAGAUUGUCCGUUUUGUACACGAAGUGCAUCCAGCUUUUGUCGCAACCCUCUCAACUUUUUAGCACAUGCUAUGUGGGUGAAAUGAUGAUACCAUGCCAACUUUCAACAUUUCCACAGUUCAUUUGUAGUGUUUUCAAUUUAAGGGUCAUUUAGCUCAAAAAAAUGAGUAAAUGCAUGAAAAAUACCAAAUGAAGUGUUUUUGAAUUUUGUGACCUGAAAGCAAAAAGAAUCACUGAAAAAUAGUAAGGAGGAACAAAAUAAAAUAAAUAAAGUAAAAAACAAAAAAAUAGCUUUUUUUAAAUGCCACCUACUGGGCGACCGCGGCGUGAAUACGACUAGAAACCCAACCAGCCUAUUGGGCCAGGAUUCAGGCCCGGAGUAGGCCCAAUAGGCCCUGAAGCAGUGACCCAUUAGGCCCGGAGUAGGCCCAAUAGGCCUAGAGUCAGUGACCCAUUAGGCCCGGAAGCCUGCAAUUGAAAGGAGCUCGAGAGGUUGUGCGCAGCUGCGCUUAUAAACCACUCGCUACCUCUCUCGGCUAGCGAUGUGGGACUAAACUUUUAGCCUCGGGCAGCACCACACUUUGGUCCUAGCUGGUGGCUCCAACCGGCACCAAUACGGACCUUUUGUCCCGGUUGGAGUCACUAAUCCGUACUAAAGGUCUCUUCUUCCCGCCCUUUUGGGCCAACGAAAUUGACCUUUAGUCCCGGUUGGUGUACCAAACCGGGACUAAAGUGUUGCUAUGGUUCCGGUUUGAGCCACCAACCGGAAACAAAGGUAUUCAUAUAUUGCGGGAGUUGUCAAAAUUUCCACCAACUUCCAUUUCCUCCCCGUUCUCUCUUCGUCGUCGCCGUCGCCGCCGUCCCGCGCCUCCUCCACGAGCCCGACGUCGUCCUCGCCGUCGCUCCUGAGCCCGUCGUCGCCCCGAGCCCAUCGCCGUUGUCGUCGCUCCCGAGCCCAUCGUCGCCCCGAGCCCGUCGCGCCCCGUCGUCCCCGAGCCCGUCGCGCGCCGUCAUCCCCGAGCCCAUCMAUCGCCCAGAGCCCAUCGCGCUCCAUCGUCCCCGAGCCCAUCGUCGUCGCCGUCGCCGUCGCUCCUGAGCCCAUCGUCGUCGUCCGUUGUCGCCCGUCGUCGCCGUCACCGUCGUCGCCGUAGCCCCCGAUCCCAUCGCCGCUGUCAUCGUCGCCCGUCGCCCGGCGUUGUUCCGAAGCCCGCCGUCGUCGCCCGUCGACGCGCCGGUAGCACGUCCAUCUCCAUCGCCAUAUCCCUAUUUGUGAAUCCAUGUGUGAGGAGACGUAGUCUAAUUGCGAAUCCAUGUGUGUAUUUCAGUCUUAUUAGAAUAUGUUGGGUACAUUUUUGAACUCCCCAAUGUGACACAAGUUAUAAAAAUUAUAAAAAUAUUUAGAUUAGAUUAAGUUACAAUAGCAGAUAAAGUUAUAAAAAUUAUAAAAAUAUUUAGAUUAGAUUAAGUUUUUAUGUUAAUAUUUGGGAUUAUGUAUAAAAGUUAGUUUUUACCUUAUUUUUAUUUUAGUUUUAAUAAAAAGUAUUUUACCGAAAAAGGGCUUCCCCCACUUUGUAAUAUUUGUAUAAACAAUGGAUAUUCCAAGAGACAUGGACCAAGAUGAAAUUUUGGGGGAUAUAAUCCACGACGACGGUAAUGUCGAUUUCUUUCUCAACAACAUCGAUGGUCUGGAAGGAGAGGAUUACGGCUCCGGUGAUCGAACAAUGGAGGAGGAAGGACAUUAUCAUGAUGGCUUAGGUGGCUACCGAAUCCCGGAGGAAGGGGAUCAUGAUGACAGCUCCGGUGACUGAUAUGUCUCCGUCGUAUCUAUAAUUUUUGAUUGUUUCAUGCCAAUAUUCUACAACUUUCAUAUACUUUUAGCAACUUUCUAUACUAUUUUUGGGACUAACAUAUUGAUCCAGUGCCCAGUGCCAGUUCCUGUUUGUUGCAUGUUUUUUGUUUCGCAGAAUACCCAUACCAAACGAAGUCCAAACGCAAUAAAAAAACCUAUGGGGAUUUUUUUGGAAUAUUUAUGAUUUUUGGGAAGAGGAAUCAACGCGAAACGAUGCCCGACGGGGUCACGAGCCCAGGAGGCGCGCUCUACCCCCCAGGCUCGCCUGGCAGGCUCGUGACCAACCCCUAAGGCGGUUGGGGCCCUUCUUUUGCCGCAAGAAAGCUAAUAUCCGGAAGAAAAUCGUGUUAAAAGGACACCUCAAUCGGAGUUACGGAUCUCCAGGAAUUUAAGAAACGGUGAAAGGACAGAAUCUGGGAGCGCAAAAACAAAAGGACACAGAGAGAGAGAGAUCCAAUCUCGGAGCGGCUCUCGCCCCUCCGCCGCCAUGGAGAUCAUGGACUAGAGGGGAAACCCUUCUCCCAUCUAGGGAGGAGGUCAAGGAAGAAGAAGAAGAAGGGGGGCUCUCUCUCCCGGCGACGCCGGAACACCGCCCGAGACAUCAUCGUGUGACGGCGAUCUACACCAACACCUCCGUCAUCUUCACCAACACAUCCAUCACAUUCCCCCAUCUAUAUUCAGCGGUCCACUCUCCCACAACCCGCUGUACCCUCUACUUGAACAUGGUGCUUUAUGCUUCAUAUUAUUAUCCAAUGAUGUGUUGCCAUCCGAUGAUGUUUGAGUAGAUUUUCGUUGUCCUAUCGGUGAUUGAUGAAUUGCUAUGAUUGGUUUAAUUUGCUUGUGGUUAUGUUGCUUUCUUUGGUUCCCAUCAUAUGAGCGCGCGCGUGGAUCACACCAUAGGGUUAGUAGUAAGUUGAUAGGACUAUGUAUUGGAGGGCAAGGGUGACAGAAGCUUCAGCCUAGCAUAGAAAUUGAUGCAUACGUGAUUGAAGGGGGACCAAUAUAUCUUAUUGCUAUAAUUGGGUUUUACCUUAAUGAACAUUAGUAGUUGUGGAUGCUUGCUAAUAGUUCCAAUCAUAAGUGCAUAGAAUUCCAAGUAAGGGAUGACAUGCUAGCAGUGGCCUCUCCCACAUAAAACUUGCUAUCGGUCUAGUAACGUAGUCAAUUGCUAAGGGACAAUUCCGCAACUCCUACCACCACUUUUCCACACUCGUUAAACUAAUGUAAUUGUUUCUUUAUCUAAAAAGCCCCUAGUUUUUAUUUACGUGUUCUUUAGUAUCUUGGAAACCUAUCCUAUCACACCUACAAAGUACUUAUAGUUUCAUACUUGUUCUAGGUAAAGCGAACGUAAAGUGUGUGUAGAGUUGUAUCGGUGGUCGAUAGAACUCGAGGGAAUAUUUGUCCUACCUUUAGCUCCUUGUUGGGUUCGACACUCUUACUUAUCGAGAAAGGCUACAAUUUAUCCCCUAUACUUGUGGGUUAUCAAGACCUUUUUCUGGCGCCGUUGCCGGGGAGCAAUAGCAUGGGGUGAAUAUUCUCGUGUGUGCUUGUUUGCUUUAUCACUAAGUAGAUUUAUUUGUUGUUCUAAGUUGUUCUCUAUCUUUGGUUAUGGAUAUGGAACACGAAAUACCAAAAAAAAUUAGGUGUACUUGCUACUCAUGGAGAUGGGGAACCUUCUAAAACCCUCCAUGCUCGUUAUGUGGAAAAUAUUAUGCACUUCUUUAAUAAUCCUGAGAAAACCCCAUUCAGUUAUAUAAUGGGAGACACGUUGGAUCAACGUGAAUACUUUAGGGAUUAUCGCUUGACUCAAAAAGGGAAACUAUUAUGGGAUCAAAUUCAUAUGUUGAAAUGGUAUGCUUGGGAACUAUGCUUGAGAUAUGAUAUUACUUGCUGCUCUAGGAUGAAGGCUCAACACCUUCCCUUUUCUUGUAAAUUUAAUGCUAAUGAAACCUUGGUUUCUUAUGCUAAUGGUAUAUAUGAUUACUAUGAUGUGGAACAAAUAGAAGAGUUUGUUACUUUUAUGGGUGCUUAUGAAAUUGAAGCUCUGUUUAAAAGGUGUGAUGAUAAUGAUGAUGCUGCUUACCGAUCAAAAAAUGUGGUUAUGCUUCAUUAUUGUUAUACUAAUUAUGAAUAUAAUGCCCAUAUUUAUCGAUUUAUGGAGAAGUUCUAUGCUGCCCAAGAAGAGACAAAUAUUUUGGAGGAAACUAUGGAAGAAGAAAAUGCUGAAACUGUGAGCUCAUUAGAUGAAAAAGAUGACGAGGAGAGUGAUGAACAAAAGGAGGAAGAGCGGACUAGCUACCCGUGCCCACCUUCUAAUGAUAGUAACUCUUCAACUCAUACAUUGUUUAAUUUCCUUUCGUUCUUACCGAAGGCUGAAUGCUAUGUUGAUUGCUAUGAUCCCUUGGAUUCGUUUGAAAUAUCGCUUUUUGAUGAACUUGAUGCUUGCUAUGCUUGUGGCCAUGAUGCCAAUAUGAAUGAUGCUUAUGAAUAUGAACUUGCUAUGGUUACUUAUGUUAAACAUGAAAUUUUUUCUAUCACACCCACUUAUGAUAGUCCUAUUAUCUUUUUGAACUCUCCCAACUACACUAUAUCGGAGAAGUUUGCUCUUAUUAGGGAUUACAUAGAUGGGUUGCCUUCUACUAUUACACAUGAUGAUUUUGAUAAAUAUAAUAUGCAUGUGCUUGCUUCUCCUACUUGCAAUUGUUAUAAGAGAGGAACUACAUCUCCACCUCUCUAUGUUUCCAAUACGAUAAAAUUGCAAGAAACUGCUUAUGCUAUGUAUUGGCCUUUACUUGAUGUGCAUGAAUUGUUACUUUAUGACAUGCCAAUGCAUAGGAAGAGAGUUAGACUUCUUCAUUGCAUGAUAUAUGUUACCUUGUGCUCACUACUAAAUUACAAAUCAUUGUUAAUUAAAAUUGGCUUUGAUAUACCUUGGGAUCCGGGUGGAUCCAUUACUUGAGCACUUUAUGUCUAGCUUAAUGGCUUUAAAGAAAGCGCUGCCUGGGAGACAACUCGGAAGUUUUAGAGAGUCAUUUAUUUCUGUUGAGUGCUUUUAUAUAGUUUAAAAACAAAAAUAUAUAUAGAGGGGAACUUAAAACUUUUUCAAAAAGAGAAGCGAUUGAAAGGUGAUGCAUUGCGGAAGUGAGGGUCGACCUUGAACACUUGUGUUCAUGCUCAUGGAAACAAUGUAGAAUUUUUCAUGGAAGUUUAUCGCAAAAAAUAAUUAUCCCCUUGUACAAUUCCAUUGUAUUAUAAAAAUAAUGUGCCAAGUAAAGCCUUUAUGAUUAGUUUGGGUGAUAGUUGUUUGAUCAUGCUGAAAAAGACAGAAACUUUGCACUCACGAAAUCAUUUCUUAUAUCUAUACAGAGAGGGAUAUUGAGUUGAUUCUUUUGUCUGCUGAUUGAUAUACAAAUUGCCUUAAUGAUAAUAAUUUUUUCAGAAUUUUUGGAGUAUCAGAAGUAUGGUAUGUGUUCAGAUUACUACAGACUGUUCUGUUUUUUGACAGAUUUUGUUUUCUAUGCAUUGUUCUCUUAUUUUAAUGAAUCUAUGGGUAGUAUCGGGGGGUAUCAACCAUGGUGAAGUUGGAUUACAGUAGAUAUAAUGCUAAUAUGAAUUUGGAAUGAGUUCACAACAGUACUUAAAGUGGUGAUUUACUUUAUUAUACUAACGGAUCUCACGAAGGUUUUGUUGAGUUUUGUGUGAUUGAAGUUUUCAAGUUUUGGGUGAGACCACGAUGGAUGAAGUAAUAAGGAGAGGCAAGAGCCUAAGCUUGGGGAUGCCCGAGGCACCCCAAGGUAAUAUUCAAGGAAGACUCAAGCGUCUAAGCUUGGGGAUGCCCCGGAAGGCAUCCCCUCUUUCGUCUACAUUCUAACGGUAAUUUUACUCGGAGCUAUAUUUUUAUUCGUCACAUGAUAUGUGCAAAUGCUUGGAGCGUCUUUUGUGUUUAUUUUUCCUUUUUCUUUUAUGCACCAUGCUGGUAUGAGAUAGUCCUUGGUUGAUUUCUAGAAUGCUCUUUGACUUCACUUAUAUCUUUUGAGUAUGGCUUUAUAGAAUGCUUCAUGUGCUUCACUUAUAUCAUUUGAAGUUUGGAUUGCCUGUUUCCCUACACAUAGAAAACCGCCAUUUGUAGAAUGCUCUUUUGCUUCACUUAUAUUUGUUAGAGCGGGGCAUAUCUUUUGUAAAAAGAAUUAAACUCUCAUGCUUCACUUAUACCUAUUUAGAGAGUUAACAGGAGUUGGUCAUUCAGAUGGUUAGUCAUAAAAUCCUACAUAAAACUUGUAGAUCACUGAAUAUGAUAUGUUUGAUUCCUUGCAAUAGUUUUGCGACAUGAAGAUGUGAUAUUAGAUUCAUGCUAGUGAGUAAUUGUGUAUUCGUAGAAAUACUUGUGUUAAGGUUUGUGAUUCCCGUAGCAUGCACGUAUGGUGAACCGUUAUGUGACGAGGUCUGAGCAUGAUUAAUUUAUUGAUUGUCAUCCUUUGUGUGGAGGUCGGGAUCGCGUGAUGGUUAACUGCUACCAACCCUUCCCCUAGGAGCAUGCGUGUAGUACCUUGUUUGGAUGACUAAUAGACUUUUGCAAUAAGUAUGUGAGUUCUUUAUGACUAAUGUUGAGUCCAUGCAUUAUACGCACUCUCACCCUUUCACCAUUGCUAGCCUCUCUAGUACCGCGCAACUUUCGCCAGUGCAUUACACCCACCAUAUACCCUUCCUCAAAACAACCACCAUACCUCAUGUUAUGGCAUUUCCAUAGCCAUUCCGAGAUAUAUUGCCAUGCAACUUCCAUCGUUCCAUUUAUUAUGACACGCACCAUCAUUGUCAUAUUGCUUUGCAUAUUUGUAAGAUAGCUAGCAUGAUGUUUUCAUGGCUUGUCCAUUUUUUGAUGUCAUUGCUACGCUAGAUCAUUGCACAUCCCGGUACACCGUCGGAGGCAUUCAUAUAGAGUCAUAUUUUAUUCUAAAUAUCGAGUUGUAAGUAAAUAAAAGUGUGAUGAUCAUCAUUAUUAGAGAAUUGUCCCAUGUGAGGAAGUAAUAAAAGAGGCCAAUGAAGCCCAAAUUAAAAAAAAUUAGGCCAAAGAAUCCCACCAAAAAAAGGGAGAAAAAAUAGAGAGAAAAGAGAGAAGGGACAAUGCUACUAUCCUUUACCACACUUGUGCUUCAAAGUAGCACCAUGAUCUUCAUGAUAGAGAGUCUCCUAUGUUGUCACUUUCAUAUACUAGUGGGAAAUUUUCAUUAUAGAACUUGGCUUGUAUAUUCCAACGAUGGGCUUCCUCAAAUUGCCCUAGGUCUUCAUGAGCAAGCGAGUUGGAUGCACACCCACUAGUUUAUUUUUUGAACUUUCAUACACUUAUAGCUCUUGUGCAUCUGUUGCAUGGCAAUCCCUACUCACUCACAUUGAUAUCUAUUGAUGGGCAUCUCCAUAGCCCGUUGAUACGCCUAGUUGAUGUGAGACUAUCUCCUCCUUUUUGUCUUUUCCACAACCACCAUAUUCUAUUCCACCUAUAGUGCUAUGUCCAUGGCUCACGCUCAUGUAUUGCGUGAAAGUUGAAAAAGUUUUAGAACACUAAAGUAUGAAACAAUUGCUUGGCUAAAACCGGGGUUGUGCAUGAUUUAAAUACGUGUGGGGAAGAUGGAGCAUAGCCACACUAUAUGAUUUUGUAGGGAUAACUUUCUUUGGCCAUGAUAUUUUGAGAAGACAUGAUUGCUUUGUUAGUAUGCUUGAAAUAUUAUUGUCUUUAUGUCAAAUGAUAGACUAUUGCUUCGAAUCACUCGUGUUUUAGUAUUCAUGCCAUGAUUAGAUUAUAUGAUCAAGAUUAUGCUAGGUAGCAUUCCACAUCAAAAAUUAUCUUUUUUAUCAUUUACCUACUCGAGGACGAGCAGAAAUUAAGCUUGGAGAUGCUGAUACGUCUCCGUCGUAUCUAUAAUUUUUGAUUGUUUCAUGCCAAUAUUCUACAAUUGUCAUAUACUUUCGGCAACUUUUUUAUACUAUUUUUUGGGACUAACAUAUUGAUCCAGUGCCCAGUGCUAGUUCCUAUUUGUUGCAUGUUUUUUGUUUCGCAGAAUAUCCAUACCAAACGAAGUCCAAACGCAAUAAAAAACCUACGGGGAUUUGUUUUGGAAUAUUUAUGAUUUUUGGGAAGAAGAAUCAACGCGAAACGAUGCCCGAGGGGGUCACGAGCCCAGGAGGCGCGCCCUAUCCCCCAGGCACGCCUGGCAGGCUCGUGACCAACCCCUAUGGCGGUUGGGGCCCUUUUUUCCCUCAAGAAAGCUAAUAUCCGGAAGAAAAUCGUGUUAAAAGGACACCUCAAUCGGAGUAACGGAUCUCCGGGAAUUUAAGAAACGGUGAAAGGCCAGAAUCUGGGAGCACAGAAACAGAAGGAAAUAGAGAGAGAGAGAGAUCCAAUCUCGGAGGGGCUCUCGCCCCUCCGCCGCCAUGGAGACCAUGGACCAGAGGGGAAACCCUUCUCCCAUCUAGGGAGGAGGUCAAGGAAGAAGAAUAAGGGGGCUCUCUCCCCCCUCUCUCCCGGCGGCGCCGGAACGCCGCCCGUGACAUCAUCGUGUGACGGCGGUCUACACCAACACCUCCGUCAUCUUCACCAACACCUCCGUCAUCUUCACCAACACCUCCAUCACCUUCCCCCAUCUAUAUUCAGCGGUCCACUCUCCCGCAACCUGUUGUACCCUCUACUUGAAUAUGGUGCUUUAUGCUUCAUAUUAUUAUCCAAUGAUGUGUUGCCAUCCUAUGAUGUUUGAGUAGAUUUUCGUUGUCCUAUUGGUGAUUGAUGAAUUGCUAUGAUUGGUUUAAUUUGCUUGUGGUUAUGUUGUUGUCCUUUGGUGCCCAUCAUAUGAGCGCGCGCGUGGAUCACACAAUAGGGUUAGUAGUAUGUUGAUAGGACUAUGUAUUGGAGGGCAAGGGUGACAGAAGCUUCAGCCUAACAUAGAAAUUGAUGCAUACGGGAUUGAAGGGGGACCAAUAUAUCUUAUUGCUAUGGUUGGAUUUUACCUUAAUGAACGUUAGUAGUUGCAGAUGCUUGCUAAUAGUUCCAAUCAUAAGUUCAUAGAAUUCCAAGUAAGGGAUGACAUGCUAGCAGUGGCCUCUCCCACAUAAAACUUGCUAUCGGUCUAGUAACGUAGUCAAUUGCUUAGGGACAAUUCCGCAACUCCUACCACCACUUUUCCACACUCGUUAAACUAAUGUAAUUGUUUCUUUAUCUAAACAGCCCCUAGGUUUUAUUUACGUGUUCUUUAUUAUCUUGCAAACCUAUCCUAUCACACCUACAAAGUACUUCUAGUUUCAUACUUGUUUUAGGUAAAGCGAACGUAGAGUGUGCGUAGAGUUGUAUCGGUGGUCGAUAGAACUUGAGGGAAUAUUUGUCCUACCUUUAGCUCCUCGUUGGGUUCGACACUCUUACUUAUCGAGAAAGGCUACAAUUGAUCCCCUAUACUUGUGGGUUAUCAGUGACCGAACGGAGGAGGGAGCUAUUGAAAAGUCCGGAUCGAGCCAAACUUCGGUAAUGAGACGAGGCCCGAAGAGAAGGUUGGGCAAGGAUCAAAAGUUCAUGAUCACAUGACUCGCGAACGAUGGCCUACCGAUUGAACCCAAGUGGACCAAGGAUGCAUUUUCUGCUCAGUGCGGAGCUAUUAUCAGGGACAACAUCCCGAUCAGCAUCAAGCAAUGGAAUAAGCCUAAGGGAGACGACGUACCUGAAGGUGAUUAUGUCACCGAUAGGCAGAAAGAUGAUCUUUGGACUGCGCUGAAGGAAAAUUUCACCCUACCGCCAGAGGAGGAUCCGAAUAAGCCAGUUAUAGAGCCACUGGUCAAGGUGUGUGCUCUUAAGAAGAUGGCAGAUCUAUUCAGGAGGUGGAAGAAUGAGUUGAAAUCAAAGUUUUUCGACAAAGGGAAGACUCCAGAAUUCGUCAGCUGAUUUGAGAAGAUGAGAGAUCACUGGCCCGCAUUUGUGUCCUACAAGAAAUCAGACAAGAGUAAGAAAAUGUCACAGACAAACAAGAACAAUGCUACAAAGAAGCAGUAUCACCAUCACACGGGGUCAGGUGGAUACCUCGAAGCCGUCCGUUGUGGGACAAAGCUGAGAAUGACCUGAUUGCUAAAGGGGUCCAACCAUAGACAUGAAACUGGCCCGACCGUUCAAGGAAUUGGUUCUUCAAGGUCGGGGGAACUUUGGACCCUGAAACAGGGAAGUGUCGUUGGACGGACGAGCAACUUGCAACACCCAUCAACAAGCUUCAGAAGUGUAUCACCGCAGCGCGGGAAGGGGCGUUCUUUCCUGACGAAGAGAAGGACGAGCUGACUGAGGCCCUAGGGAAUGUUGAGCACCCUGGACAAACACGAGGCACACCAGGCUCCGUUCCAUGGAAGGUUGGGUUUCCCGACGCAGCCGGUUAUAGAAGCCGAGAGAGAAAGAGGAAAGUGGAGCUCAGCGACAUGCAAAAGAUCAAUGCAAGACUACAAAUUCUAGAGGAACUUGAGAGCCAGCGAGCGGCCGACCAACCAUCUCAGCGUCACGAAACUACCCAGAAGUUACCCCGCCAUCUCAGCGAAGAAGCAGCAUGGCUUCCACGGAGCUCGUUCAGCCUGACUUCACGGCUCCAAGCUACCCCGUGGAUACUAUCACGGAGUCUCAACCUUGCGAUCUUUUGACGAAAUGUCGGAACCUCACUUUCAAGGCUGCUAUCGGCUUCGUUGCACCUUCUGAACCAACGGAACUUUUCACUGCCUUCCGAUUCCACGUGGCUUUGCUAUUCAGAUGGUGGAUGAAGUAAAGGAGGGAUUUGAGCAGCUCGAGCUUGACCACCCUACAGGUGAAGGGGAGAAUAAGUUGGUUCAUGAUGUGAGGAGUACAUGUCUAUGGCCGAAGGAGUACAUCAACCUUCCAAACUGGACGCCUCCUCGUCCUCCUCCUCCGGUGAUUGAUCAGGGCACUCCUCAUCCUCCUCCGGCGAGUGAUCAGGGCACUACAGCUCCUCCGACGCGUGAGGGCACUCCACCUCCUUCUUCGGCUCCUCCUCUAGCGCGUGAGGGCACUCCGUCUCCUUCUUCAACUCCUUCUUCGACGCGUCGAAGUAGUCUGCCUCCUUCUUCGGCUCCUCCUCCAGUGCGUCGGAGCACUCCGCCUCCUUCUUUGACUCCUCCUCCAGCGCAUCGGAGCAGUCCUCCUCCUUCGGCUCCUCCUCAGGCACGUCAUAGCAGUCCUCCUCCUUCGGCUCCUCCUCAGGUGCGUCGGAGCAGUCCUCCUCCUUCGGCUCCUCCUCAGGCGCGCCGGAGCAGUCCGCCUCCUCCACAACGGUGGAAGACAAACGUCGUCGCCGCUCCGCAGAAAAUUACACAAGUAAGAAAGAUGUCGCCUCCUCCUCCUUCUCUCAAGCGGAAGACAAACUCCGCCGCCGCUCUGGAGGCUACCAGUGAUGCAAUGUUAGCAAAACGAAGAAGUGGGAAAACAAUUCCCCAGCUCGGCCAACAGAAGAAGCAAUCGUGCCCCCCGCUCAAGGUGUCUAGCGAUAUCAUCGUCGCUAAUGAUCCGGGGUUGCUGUUGUUGGAAAUAUGCCCUAGAGGCAAUAAUAAAUUAGUUAUUAUUAUAUUUCUUUGUUCAUGAUAAUCGUUUAUUAUCCAUGCUAUAAUUGUAUUGAUUGGAAACACAAUACUUGUGUGGAUACAUAGACAAAACACUGUCCCUAGUAAGCCUCUAGUUGACUAGCUCGUUGAUCAAAGAUGGUCAAGGUUUCCUGACCAUGGGCAAGUGUUGUCACUUGAUAACGGGAUCACAUCAUUAGGAGAAUCAUGUGAUGGACUAAGACCCAAACUAAUAGACGUAGCAUGUUGAUCGUGUCAUUUUGUUGCUACUGUUUUCUGCGUGUCACGUAUUUGUUCCUAUGACCAUGAGAUCAUAUAACUCACUCACACCGGAGGAAUGCUUUGUGUGUAUCAAACGUCGCAACGUAACUGGGUGACUAUAAAGAUGCUCUACAGGUAUCUCCGAAGGUGUUAGUUGAGUUAGUAUGGAUCGAGACUGGGAUUUGUCACUCCGUGUGACGGAGAGGAAUCUCGGGGCCCACUCGGUAAUACAACAUCACACACAAGCCUUGCAAGCAAUGUGACUUAGUGUAAGUUGCGGUAUCUUGUAUUAUGGAACGAGUAAAGAGACUUGCGGGUAAACGAGAUUGAAAUAGGUAUGCGGAUACUGACGAUCGAAUCUCGGGCAAGUAACAUACCGAAGGACAAAGGGAAUGACAUACGGGAUUAUAUGAAUCCUUGGCACUGAGGUUCAAACGAUAAGAUCUUCGUAGAAUAUGUAGGAUCCAAUAUGGGCAUCCAGGUCCCACUAUUGGAUAUUGACCGAGGAGUCGCUCGGGUCAUGUCUACAUAGUUCUCGAACCCGCAGGGUCUGCACACUUAAGGUUCGACGUUGUUAUAUGCGUAUUUGAGUUAUAUGGUUGGUUGCCGAAUGUUGUUCGGAGUCCCGGAUGAGAUCACAAACGUCAUGAGGGUUUCCGGAAUGGUCCGGAAACGAAGAUUGAUAUAUAGGAUGACCUCAUUUGAUUACCGGAAGGUUUUCGGAGUUACCGGGAAUGUACCGGGAAUGACGAAUGGGUUCCGGAUGUUCACCGGGGGGGGCAACCCACCUCGGGGAAGCCCAUAGGCCUUGGGGGUGGCGCACCAGCCCUUAGUGGGCUGGUGGGACAGCCCAAGAAGGCCCUAUGCGCCAUANNNNNNNNNNNNNNNNNNNNNNNNNNNNNNNNNNNNNNNNNNNNNNNNNNNNNNNNNNNNNNNNNNNNNNNNNNNNNNNNNNNNNNNNNNNNNNNNNNNNCAGGAUGGCCCAGGCGAGCAUGCCAAAGGUCGACACCAGCGGCGAGGGAGACGGGGCGGGUGGAGGCAGCGGCGGAGGGAUGCACCGGGUAGAGAUCCUGAGAGCUAUCACAUCGGUGCAGUACCAUCCGGGUAGGGGCAUCCUUCACAGUAAAAUCGACAACGUCAAAUUCAACAGUAAGAGGAUUCUCACGAGCAAGGCAACGAACAGAACAAAGUUUCGUGACUAAUUCGGGAGAAACAAGAACAUUAGACAUGUUGAUAGGUGUAGAUGAAGAGGGAAACGAUGUAUGCCCUAUAUGUGUGAUGGGUAAAGAUGAACCAUUACCAACGGUGAUACAAGUAGGAGUAUGAACUGGAGUAGAGGAGAUAAGGUUACCGGUAUGAGAGGUCAUGUGAGCAGUGGCACCCGAGUCCAUGUACCAGUCGCCGCCGCCCCCAUAGUUGCUCGGGGAGGGGGGCGCGAGUGCAGCGCUGCCAAAAGAGCAGGAUCUCACGGCGAAGGCGCCUGCUGUGGGGAGGCCCCGCCGUAGGGGGCCCUCCGUAGGAAGGCAUCAGAGCAGCAGGGUAGCCGCCAACCAUCAGCGGGGCGGGUAGAGCAGGACCACGCACGGCGAGGUAAGCUUGUUGAAGAGGCGGAGGGGGCCGAGGCACUAGCAUCUAAUAGGCAUGGAUGACUCCAGUCCACGGAUUUGUGUCGUAGGUCCAGGGCGGGGUAGGGUACUGCUGACGAGGCGCCCUCCGUACGCCGGUUGUUGCGGCUGUUGUUGCUUGUUCUGGCGUCCACCGCGGCAGUUGUUGCAUCGGCCGCCGCCACCGCCGAGCUGCUGUUGCGGCUGCCGCUGCACGGGCGGCGUGGGCGGCAAGGAGAAGAACCCCGGGGGCGCAGGAGGUGCCGGGGCCCGAGGCGCGUGAGGUGGCCCGUGAGAGGUGCCUGCGGCGAGGGCGGUGUGCUGGACCCGCCGCUUGACCUGCUUCAUCUGUCGUUCCUCCAAGCAAAGAUAGGCGACAAACUUGGGGAACGAGGGCUCCGUCAUCAAGGUGAGGUUGGAGGCGGCGUUGCCGAAGUCCUCGUCGAGGCCGGUCGUAAGCGUGCUGAGGAGAAGGUCAUCAUCGAUCUUGGCGCCAAUGUCGUGGAGUUCAUUGGACAACAUCUUGAGACGGAGGUAGUAAUCAUCAACGGGCUGAUCAUCUUGAUGACAGCUGAAGAAUUCUUGCUGCAGGAGGACGCGACGUUGAAGCUUGUUGUCGGUGAAGAGGCCAUUGAGUUUGACCCAUACGGCAUGCGCGUCAUCGCCCUCGCUGACGACGGUGUGAAAGUGAUCCUUGGAGAUGAUGAGGAAGAACCACCGAAUGAGCGUAGCAUCGAUGGAUGUCCACUCGAAAUCGUCCUUCAUGUCGCCAGAGUCGCCGGAGCCGUCGAUGUGAUCCGCGAUAUUGUACUCGCGAACGACGAGGGAGAAGUAGGUCUUCCACGCGAAAUACAUGGAGUCUUGGGGAUCGAGGAUGACGGGGACCCGACCAUGGAUGAAGGGGUUGGUGUUGCCGGAGAGGGAGGAGUUAACCGACAUGACGUCGGCGACGCGACAGGAGGGAAGGCGCGGUGCGGCGGCGGUGGUUGCGGGUGCGGCUACGUGCAUAUCGUAGCGGCAGGUGUUAGGGUUUAGUGGCGACGGCGGCGGCUUGUGGAGGGAGAGUAGGGUUAGGGCGCGACUGCGUGGAGAUGGAUGGCAGCAGCAGGGUAGGGGAGGCGACAGUGGCGACGCGAGGCGUCGGCUGGGUAGCAGCAGCGGCGGCGGUGGCGGCUAGGGCAACAGAAGAGGUAGGAUCCGCGUGCUAUCUGAUACCAUGUAAGUUAGGGAUUGCAUGCAUCGAUGAUUCUCAUUGAUGGUGCACCAAGCACAUAUAUAGGUACAAGGGGUGCAACUCAUGUCUCGUCUUUCAAGUUACAUACAGAUUACAAUGAGAGGGAGACGUGACAGGUGCAAUAUACAAACCAAGAUCUAUAGACGUGUACGCAGACUAUACAUGUUCAACAUAAACAUAGGCUAAAACGGAUCAAUUCAAUCAAAAUAGUGAGAAAACAAUAUCAAAACCAGGAUGAGACCAAAAAUCGACUGCUUAAAUGUCAAGAGUAAUAACAAAUGUGACUUCUUAACUACACAUAAGAAUGUUGCUUGUCAAGCAUGAAAGAUGUACACAACCGAACACCUGUCCUGGGAGCAAUAUGUAUAUACAGAAACGGCAGACUUUACACACAAGGCACACAGGGGAUAGGCUUGGACGGAUGAAAGAAACAAGGAAGCAAGCAACCACUGAUAAACACUUCAUUCACUCUUGCUCCAUUUGCGAAGAAGGAGCGUUUUUACUUUAGGCCCCAAAGCAUCCCAUGACUUUCUUGGGAGAGUUGCCGGUGGCGCGGUACUUGGCGGCCAUCUCCUCGGCCUUGAGGAGUUCCUCCCCUUUCUUUGCCUCGACCAUCGCUCUCUUCUCUUCGGCUUCCUUGUGGAUCAUUGCGGCCUUAUUCUUCAUCUUCUCGGCGUAUUCAGCCUUCUUCUUUUCCAAUUGCUCCUGAAAGUGUACAGUCACAAGAUUUAGUUUGCAGGAUGGCAUAUGAAGAGAGUGCCAUGUUCAGAACUGCAGAUGGAUAUCGACGGCAAGA
rnacentral:lncRNA from 1 species